rnacentral:lncRNA from 1 species
AUGAACAGUCUGAUUAACCUUUGUACCACAGAAAUACGCAAGCGAUGCCAAGCGACGCAAUAUUUUUUAGACAUUAUAGAAAAAAUGUGUCUAGCUUCACAAGUGGUCAUUAAGGCGUUUGAGGACGAACAAAAUUCCCACAAUGAAACCAAGAAGAAUUAUGAGCAGACUACUGAAAAACUGAAAGCGAAAGACUGUCUCAUAGUUUCUCUUCAGGAAAGCAUUGCGACAGGAGAAGCGAAGGUUUUAGCUGCUGAACAACUGGCAACCCUUUACAAACAGAGGCUUAUCGAAGAACAAGAGGCUCGUCAAGAAACAAGGAGAUCUUACCAGGAAAAAGUGAACAGUCCGAAGGAACCGAGUGAAUCAGAUCAAACCAGUGAUCUCGGUCCAGAACAAGUGGAAGAGAAUUUUCAACGUGGAUUAGAAAAAGCAAAAAGCUCUGAAUUAGAGCCGAGAGACUUAAACAUUAGUAAUCUUCAAUCUCAGAACAAAGCGCUCUGCGUUCAGAUUCAGCACAGCACAUCUGAUAUUAGAAAGCGCGUUGAGGAAACACAAAAGAGUGUUGUGAGAGAUCUCCAGGAGCUGAACACUUUGUGUCUGGGCCUUGAAGAAAAUUAUCAAAGUGGGAUUGCAAGCUGCAAGCAGCAGGUCGAAUUUUUAGAGCAGGAAUUGGAAAAAGAGAAAGCAUCUCAUGCGGACACGCGGGAAACAAUGCAAAAUAUUAUUCUCACUAAUAAGGCACAGAACGAAGAGCUCUGUUCCCAAAUGCAGCAACAGACAUCUGACAUAUACAAGCUGAUUGACGAAACAAAGAGCCAUUUCAAAAGGGAACUGGAGCAGAAAGACGUUUUAUAUAAAAAUGUUCAGCAGGAGUUGGAGAGAGAACGACAAGCUCAUCUAGACACAUUCCAGGAAAGACAAAAUAUUAUUCUCACUAUCAUGGCAGAGAAAGAGGCGCUCUGUCUUCAAAUGCUUAGGGAUGUAGAUAAGAUGGAACGGCUGUGGAGAGAACAGAAACUGAGCUUUCUAAAACAUCUGGAAGAGAAAGACGUUCUGUAUCAAAGCCGCGACGAUAAAUAUAAAGCUGAACUUUCAGACGUCAAACAGCAGAUGGAAAAUGUUCAGCGGGAGUUGGAAGAGGAAAUACAAAUUCGUAAAGAAAUGGAAGAGAUUAUUUGCACUAUUCUGGCAGAGAGCGAAGGUCUCUCCUCCCAAAUGCAGCAACAGACAUCUGAUUUAAACAACAAAGAGCCAUUUUAA